rnacentral:lncRNA from 1 species
UUCAUCUCAUUUUCCAUUGAACGAGUGUGUUUUACACUCCAUCUCAACCCACCACAUGAUCCAAUUUUUCAACUAGGGAAGGUUCAAAAUUUCUAAAAAAAAAUUCUUCAAAUUAACCAAGAUAUCCCCCAAACUGUAUUCUCCUUCGUUUUGCACUUUAAGUUAUGAUCAAACAAGAUAUAAAGUUCAUAAAUAUCUUU